AUUGAACGCUGGCGGAAUGCUUUACACAUGCAAGUCGAACGGUAGAGGGGGCAACCCCUCGAGAGUGGCGAACGGGUGAGUAAUAUAUCGGAACGUGCCCAGUCGUGGGGGAUAACGUAGCGAAAGUUACGCUAAUACCGCAUACGAUCUAAGGAUGAAAGCGGGGGAUCGCAAGACCUCGCGCGAUUGGAGCGGCCGAUACCAGAUUAGGCAGUUGGGGGGGUAAAGGCUCACCAAGCCAACGAUCUGUAGCUGGUCUGAGAGGAAGACCAGCCACACUGGAACUGAGACACGGUCCAGACUCCUACGGGAGGCAGCAGUGGGGAAUUUUGGACAAUGGACGCAAGUCUGAUCCAGCCAUUCCGCGUGCAGGAUGAAGGCCCUCGGGUUGUAAACUGCUUUUGUACGGAACGAAAAGGUCUCUCUUAAUACGGGGGACUCAUGACGGUACCGUAAGAAUGAGCACCGGCUAACUACGUGCCAGCAGCCGCGGUAAUAC
rnacentral:rRNA from 1 species